rnacentral:rRNA from 1 species
GGAAUAUUGGGCAAUGGGCGGAAGCCUGACCCAGCGACGCCGCGUGAGGGAAGAAGGUCUUCGGAUUGUAAACCUCUUUCAGCAGGGAAGAAGGAAGUGACGGUACCUGCAGAAGAAGUCACGGCUAACUACGUGCCAGCAGCCGCGGUAAUACGUAGGUGGCGAGCGUUAUCCGGAAUUACUGGGUGUAAAGGGUGUGUAGGCGGGUCGGCAAGUCAGGCGUGAAAUGAGAAGGCUCAACCUUCUAACUGCGCUUGAAACUGUCGAUCUUGAGAGUGGGAGAGGUAAACGGAAUUCCUGGUGUAGUAGUGAAAUGCGUAGAUAUCAGGAGGAACACCGGUGGCGAAGGCGGUUUACUGGACCACAACUGACGCUGAGACACGAAAGCGUGGGGAGCAAACA